AUAUACUCGUGUAUAAGUCGAUCUCAUGUAUAAGUCGAGUGCAGUUUUGUGACCAACAAUUGUGAAAUAUGCUAUGCCUCGUGGAUAAGUCGAGGGUAAAACUUGGAGCUAUGAAAUUCUGUGAUUUUUAUAAUUAUAUACACACACUCAUACAAACAAACACUCUGCAUUAUAUAUACACACACUCAUACAAACAAUCUGCAUUAUAUACACACACACACUCAUACAAACACACACUCUGCAUUAUAUACACACACACACUCAUACAAACACACACUGCAUUAUAUACACACACUCUGUGUAUAUAAUGCAGAGUGUGUAUAUAAUGCAGAGUGUGUGUUUGUGUAGUGUGUGUGAACUAGGUGGGGG